CCUACGGGAGGCAGCAGUGGGGAAUUUUGGACAAUGGGCGAAAGCCUGAUCCAGCAAUGCCGCGUGAGUGAAGAAGGCCUUCGGGUUGUAAAGCUCUUUUGUCAGGGAAGAAACGGUGUGGGCUAAUAUCCUGCACUAAUGACGGUACCUGAAGAAUAAGCACCGGCUAACUACGUGCCAGCAGCCGCGGUAAUACGUAGGGUGCAAGCGUUAAUCGGAAUUACUGGGCGUAAAGCGUGCGCAGGCGGUUUUGUAAGUCUGUCGUGAAAUCCCCGGGCUCAACCUGGGAAUUGCGAUGGAGACUGCAAGGCUAGAAUCUGGCAGAGGGGGGUAGAAUUCCACGUGUAGCAGUGAAAUGCGUAGAGAUGUGGAGGAACACCGAUGGCGAAGGCAGCCCCCUGGGUCAAGAUUGACGCUCAUGCACGAAAGCGUGGGGAGCAAACAGGAUUAGAUACCCUGGUAGUCCACGCCCUAAACGAUGUCUACUAGUUGUCGGGUUUUAAUAACUUGGUAACGCAGCUAACGCGUGAAGUAGACCGCCUGGGGAGUACGGUCGCAAGNUUAAAACUCAAAGGAAUUGACGGCUGAGACUCGACGAGCACAGGAGGUUAG
rnacentral:rRNA from 1 species